rnacentral:rRNA from 1 species
AGUGAUCGCUGGCGGUAGGCCUAACACAUGCAAGUCGAACGGCAGCACAGGAGAGCUUGCUCUCUGGGUGGCGAGUGGCGGACGGGUGAGGAAUACAUCAGAAUCUACUUUUUCGUGGGGGAUAACGUAGGGAAACUUACGCUAAUACCGCAUACGACCUACGGGUGAAAGCAGGGGAUCUUCGGACCUUGCGCGAUUGAAUGAGCCGAUGUCGGAUUAGCUAGUUGGCGGGGUAAAGGCCCACCAAGGCGACGAUCCGUAGCUGGUCGGAUGGGAGGAGCAGCCAACCGGGAAGUGGGACACGGUCCAGACUCCUACGGAAGGCAGCAGUAGGGAAUUUUGGACAAUGGGCGCAAGCCUGAUCCAGCCAUACCGGGUGGGUGAAGAAGGCCUUCGGGUUGUAAAGCCCUUUUGUUGGGAAAGAAAUCCAGCUGGUUAAUACCCGGUUGGGAUGACGGUACCCAAAGAAUAAGCACCGGCUAACUUCGUGCCAGCCGCCGCCGUAA